GGCGGUAUGCUUAACACAUGCAAGUCGAACGGCAGCAUGGUGUGUAGCAAUACACACUGAUGGCGAGUGGCGGACGGGUGAGGAACACGUAGGAAUCUGCCCUAUAGAGGGGGACAACCGGAGGAAACUCCGGCUAAUACCGCAUAAUACUCUUCGGAGGAAAUGCUGGGUGGUAACACCUGGCGCUAUAGGAGGAGCCUGCGUCCGAUUAGCUAGUUGGUUAGGUAAAGGCUGACCAAGGCGAUGAUCGGUAGCUGGUCUGAGAGGACGACCAGCCACACUGGGACUGAGACACGGCCCAGACUCCUACGGGAGGCAGCAGUGGGGAAUAUUGGACAAUGGGGGCAACCCUGAUCCAGCAAUACCGCGUGUGUGAAGAAGGCCUUCGGGUUGUAAAGCACUUUAGUUGGGGAAGAAGGCUAGUAGUUUAAGAGAUGAUUAGUUUGACUGUACCCAAAGAAUAAGCACCGGCUAACUCUGUGCCAGCAGCCGCGGUAAUACAGA
rnacentral:rRNA from 1 species